GAUGAACGCUGGCGGCGUGCCUAAUACAUGCAAGUCGAGCGAAUGGAUUAAGAGCUUGCUCUUAUGAAGUUAGCGGCGGACGGGUGAGUAACACGUGGGUAACCUGCCCAUAAGACUGGGAUAACUCCGGGAAACCGGGGCUAAUACCGGAUAACAUUUUGAACCGCAUGGUUCGAAAUUGAAAGGCGGCUUCGGCUGUCACUUAUGGAUGGACCCGCGUCGCAUUAUCUAGUUGGUGAGGUAACGGCUCACCAAGGCAACGAUGCGUAGCCGACCCGGGACGGUGAUCGGCCACACUGGGACUGCGACACGGACCAGACUCCUACGGGAGGCAGCAGUAGGGAAUCUUCCGCAAUGGACGAAAGUCUGACGGAGCAACGCCGCGUGAGUGAGGAAGGCUUUCGGGUCGUAAAACUCUGUUGUUAGGGAAGAACAAGUGCUAGUUGAAUAAGCUGGCACCUUGACGGUACCUAACCAGAAAGCCACGGCUAACUACGUGCCAGCCGCCGCAGUAA
rnacentral:rRNA from 1 species